rnacentral:tRNA from 1 species
CAACCUGUAGUGUAGCGGUUAGCAUGUCUGCUUUACACGCAGAGGUCCUGGGUCACGCCCCAGUGGAUUCC